UACGGGGGGGGCAAGCGUUGUUCGGAAUUACUGGGCGUAAAGGGCUCGUAGGCGGCCAACUAAGUCAGACGUGAAAUCCCUCGGCUUAACCGGGGAACUGCGUCUGAUACUGGAUGGCUUGAGUGUGGGAGAGGAAUGCGGAAUUCCAGGUGUAGCGGUGAAAUGCGCAGAUAUCAGGAGGAACACCGGUGGCGAAGGCGGGUCUCUGGGCCGAUACUGACGCUGAGGAGCGAAAGCGUGGGGAGCGAACAGG
rnacentral:rRNA from 1 species